CCGGAGGAGAUCACCCAGCUAGUCAUGCUAAAGCACUUUUUCAAUGGGCUCCCCAACGACAAGGCGACGACACAUUCGUAUGUCAUCCAUAUCAACUUUCGAUGCCAUUUACUGUGCCUACCAUGGUGACCACAGGUAACGGGGAAUCACGGUUCAAUUCCUGAGAGGGAUCCUGAGAAAUGGCUUACACAUGCAAGGAAGGCA
rnacentral:rRNA from 1 species